rnacentral:lncRNA from 14 species
CUUGAUGUGUGUUGACUUUUUAGGGAAAAAACUGACCAGCAUGUGAAGAUUAGGCCCUUUGUAGAAUGGAAUUUUUUCAGAAUGUUUUUUUUUUCUGAAUGAAACAGUGCUUUGGUGGGUGAGGACUGGUUUAAAUGUUCUAAAAGAAAUUGUGUCUAUACUAUGAAUUCUUCAGACCAUUCCUGUUAACCAUGAACUCUGUAUACAACAGGUACAUCCAUACGUUUAGAAAAAAAAAUUAUAGUUAUGGUGAAGAACAGUUAAUGGAUCCAUUUGCUACCCAUUUGGCACAUUGUGGUUUAAUUUAAUUUGUGCUCUAUUUCAUUACUGAUACCUUUGAAAGUACCAGGUAAGAGUGUGCCUACAUACAUGCUGGUCCUGCUUCUGUGGCAUGGGAAAGAUGCUUUGUGUAUUCUGGGCUAGGAGAGAAACGACCCUGUUCUUGGCUUUGCUUGCUUGCGCCAGGAUCUGGCAUGAAUUAAUAACUGGGAAUGUAUCCUGCAUGACAAUCAAAAAAAACCAAAAAAACCAAAAAACCGCCACCCACAAACAAAAAGAAGUCCUAAAAACAAAAAGGCAGCUUGAUUUUUUUGUUUCUUCAAAGUUGCCUAAGACAUGGGACCUUACAUUUCUGCAUCAGCUGGACGUCCUUCCCUCAGGCAGGCCCAGCAUGGCUGAGGAGUUUGCGGAGAGCCGGGGUCCUUCAUUCCCGGCUGUGCCGCCGCCGCCGCCCACCGCCAGCCCCCCGCCCGCGGCUCCGCACGGCCGCGGGGCAGCGCCAUGGGCGCUGGCAGCUCCGCCGAGCCGGCCGCCCCGCAGGACGGGGCCGGGGCCGCCGCCGAGUCCCCCAGCACUCCCCGGAGCCGCUGCCGGCAGAAGACGCGGCGGAGCCCCAGCCACCGGCGGAGCCCGCCAAGGCUUUAAAUGCAAGUUUACCAGUACCUGGUGUUGGUGAAGACAAUUUGAAGGAUGAUGCCUCACCACAGGAGCCACUGCAGCUGGGAGCUGUUACAGCAUCUAAGGAACCGGGUGGGCAGCAGUCAGAGGUGGCUUCACUGCUCCAAGAACCACCCGGAGAGCAAACAGAGUCUGCUGGAACAAAUGGUGAGUACAAACACGUGUUCAGUGGACUUACCUUAGAGGCCUGCAUGCUAUAUGGGAUGAGAAGUAGAUAUAGGGCUUGACUAGCUAUAUGCUGCUGAACAGGUAUUACUCAAGUGAUCUGUUGUUGCUCAGAUGCUUCUUGGGCACUGUUUUGUGGGAGAUGUUUUCUCUGUAGGAGAGAGUUCAUAUGACAAGUGGCUUGUGGACUGAAGGUGUUGGUGUCAGUGGUGGACAUCCACCUGUUAGGAACAGCUCAGUUUCCACGUCUUGGGCUAGUUCCUGCUGCAUAGGCCUGUCCCUUCCUUCAUAAGGCAGAAAUCCUUUUUAGGUUAAUUCAUCAGUGGUAUUAAUGAUAAAUGAUUCAGUACUCAUAGAAAGGGACAAGCUGCUAAUCCAUUGGUUUUACCUUGAUUAAAGUUCCCUUUCCUACAGCUUUUAAUCGGAUUUGCAUUGGGACCACAAAACCUUUCUCAUCAUAGGCAUCCCAGUGUGUUCUGUCUUGGGACUGUCUCCCUUGCCUUGCUGCACAGUUAGGAAUGUGCUGUUCUUUCUCCUGUGUGAUCUGGCAGCCCACCUUUCCUGCUCUCAUCAGCCUCUUCUUGCUUCCCUCUGUUCCUGUUCACAGGCGUGUGUUGAGAGAUCUGCUUCAGCAGUCUUGCUGCCUGCUGACUUUUUGGCAGGAUGGCUGAGAGGGAGGGCUGGUUUUCAGUCAGAGCGGGCAUCUAAUGCUGCUGGUGGUGAGCUGGGAAGGGAUGGUGACAGGGUAUGAGGCACUAUCUUCAGCAUCAGCCUGUAGAGUGCCUUAAGGCAUGUGUAUAACCCAUGGCGUACUCUAGGGUUUGAAUCCUAGUAAAAGCAGUUCUUUGUCACAUCUUCAGAUUAAUUGCCGUAAUACUAUUAUCCCUGUAGAAGGCUACCAUAUUUUAUCCUGAGCUUUUCUGCCUUUUUUUUUUAAAGUCGUAUCAGGAGGGACUUUUGACACUAUAAAAAUGGAAUGCAACUUGUUUUAUCUUUCAUGAAACUCCACUUCUCUAAAAUUUUACUCUUCAGUGGACAGGCAUUGGGGUGAGGAUACUCGCUAAACAGAGUCAUAAAGGAGAAGAAAAUACUUGAUGUUUGGAAGUAGUGUCAGAAGAUUUCAUGUUGAUAUUCAGCUUCUGGAUCCUGUAAAAGAAAAGGCCAUUAAAAGGGCAUGAGUUUCAAGUCAAUAGUCAAAGAUUACAACUAUUUUUGAAUAAUCCUGGGUUGUAGUUUCAGUUGUAUGGAAAAAUCACAUUCCUAGGAUAUGUAAUGAAGAGGUGAGAAGUUUCCUCUGAGUGCAGGUCAUUAUGUGUAACCAGUUGCAUGGCAUGAUGUGUACAUACACAGCAUUAGGAAUCUGGAUUUGAGUAGACUGCCUGAAAAACUUUGGCUUAGUUUUGAGAAUCAUCUCUCUGUGGUUGUGUGAUAUUCCUAUUUGCUGGAGCCAAGUCUAGAUGGUAGCGUUAUUUAUGUUGAAGGGAAAACAAUACUAUGUGUUUGCUCUUGAAGUAAAAAAAAUCCUUUUAUGAAGAUGAUGUGGUGUGUAUUUGCUGGUAAUGAUAGAUGAAAAUGACAUCAUCGAUAGAGACAAAUAAAACUCACCCAGCUGAGCACUGAAAAGAGUUCUUCAAAUAAAGACUAUGUUCAGAUGUUUGGUUUUUUUCCACUCCUCUGGACCUUAGAGAGUCUAGUCCACCUCAUCUGUCCUUAGGCAGAUGAGUAAAGGCGGGGAAGAGGUAUCUCUUAGUUGCUUCACGCAGACAAAUCUCCCAUUUUAGUGCUACACUUCAUGUUCCUCAUUGUUUAUUUCACCUUGCUUGCAAGUCUAAACUCAGAAGUAAAGCAUUGUGGCACCAAGCACUGAAACAGCACAAGUGUUUGCCUACAGUAAAGAAAUGUUUAUGAUUAAAAGUUUUUUGGUUUUGUUGAUUCUUGUCAUCAUUAUUUGAAUUUUGGAUUCAGAAGACCACUUAAGAGAUGACCUAGACUCAUUAAAGUUGCCACUAUAAAACUAAAUUAACCAGAUAUUCUGGUAAAUUGGCUGGGAAGUUGGCUCUGACAGUCAGAGAGAUGAAGGCUCAAAGUAUCAUCAGAACUUUGGCGAUAUUCAACAUAAUCAGUUUUAAUCAAAAGAGAAAUACUGUUGCUAUUGUAGGUGGGCACCUGUAUUAGAUACUGAGCCUUUACAUUUUAUUUUACUGUAUUGCAUCCCUUUUUUACUAUCAGUAGGAGCAUUAAACUAUUAUACAAGUAUCUGGAGUAACAUGUUUAUGAAACUCUUGACAUCAGAAUUUGAGGCAAUUUAUAAGUAAUUCGGUUGUAGAGAAUUCCAAUUAAAAAAACCCUUCAGACAAAUGAAAACAAAACAAACCCAAACCAACCCCACAGUGCCAGGCAAAGGAGCAAAUAUUUCAGUGUGGAAGAACAGAAGUGGUUUUUGUAUGGUUUUGUUUAUGAGGGACAAAAUCCAUGGGGCUUUUAAGGAGCAUCUCUUGAGGUUGCGUGUGGAUGCCUUGUGGGAAGCUGCAUCCGGGACGGCAUUACAACAGCGGGAACUGAAGCGGCCGGCUGGUCCGAAAGCGGCAGCCGGCGCCUGUUCCCUUCGGGGCAGAGGGCGAUGAAGGCUCGGAGCGGCAGUUCCGAGACGGACCCCGAGAGGCGCCACGCGUGUGCCGGCCAGCGGUGGGAAGAGCCCGGCGGCCGGGGGGCGGUCCCGGGCGGGGCCCGGCGCUGUCCGGGACGGGGGGGAGCGGCCGUGGGGCUCGGCGGAGAGCCCAGCCCUCCGACCGGCAGACUUCCAUCAGGCAGGCUCUCCGUCGGUCGUCCGUCCGUGCGUCCGUCCAGCCAGCCGGGUGCCAGGGGCUGGAAGCGCCGCUGCCGCUUCCCUCUCGCUGCCGUCGGCUGGGAGGAACCUCGGAGCGGGAGAGGGAGUUGGUG